rnacentral:rRNA from 1 species
CAGCCCCUCGAGUGGUGGGGAUGAUUAUUUGGCCUAAAGCGUCCGUAGCCGGCCGUGUAAGUCUCCCGUUAAAUCCAGCGUCUCAAGCGUUGGACUGCGGGAGAUACUGUACGGCUAGAGAGUGGGAGAGGUCAGCGGUAUUCUGGGGGUAGGGGCGAAAUCCUUUGAUCCCCGGAGGACCACCAGUGGCGAAGGCUGCUGACUAGAACACGUCUGACGGUCAGGGACGAAAGCUGGGGUAGCGAACCGGAUUAGAGACCCGAGUAGCC